rnacentral:rRNA from 1 species
UUAAGCGACUAAGCGUACACGGUGGAUGCCCUGGCAGUCAGAGGCGAUGAAGGACGUGCUAAUCUGCGAUAAGCGUCGGUAAGGUGAUAUGAACCGUUAUAACCGGCGAUUUCCGAAUGGGGAAACCCAGUGUGUUUCGACACACUAUCAUUAACUGAAUCCAUAGGUUAAUGAGGCGAACCGGGGGAACUGAAACAUCUAAGUACCCCGAGGAAAAGAAAUCAACCGAGAUUCCCCCAGUAGCGGCGAGCGAACGGGGAGCAGCCCAGAGCCUGAAUCAGUGUGUGUGUUAGUGGAAGCGUCUGGAAAGGCGCGCGAUACAGGGUGACAGCCCCGUACACAAAAAUGCACAUGCUGUGAGCUCGAUGAGUAGGGCGGGACACGUGGUAUCCUGUCUGAAUAUGGGGGGACCAUCCUCCAAGGCUAAAUACUCCUGACUGACCGAUAGUGAACCAGUACCGUGAGGGAAAGGCGAAAAGAACCCCGGCGAGGGGAGUGAAAAAGAACCUGAAACCGUGUACGUACAAGCAGUGGGAGCACAGAGCAAUCUGUGUGACUGCGUACCUUUUGUAUAAUGGGUCAGCGACUUAUAUUCUGUAGCAAGGUUAACCGAAUAGGGGAGCCGAAGGGAAACCGAGUCUUAACUGGGCGUUAAGUUGCAGGGUAUAGACCCGAAACCCGGUGAUCUAGCCAUGGGCAGGUUGAAGGUUGGGUAACACUAACUGGAGGACCGAACCGACUAAUGUUGAAAAAUUAGCGGAUGACUUGUGGCUGGGGGUGAAAGGCCAAUCAAACCGGGAGAUAGCUGGUUCUCCCCGAAAGCUAUUUAGGUAGCGCCUCGUGAAUUCAUCUCCGGGGGUAGAGCACUGUUUCGGCAAGGGGGUCAUCCCGACUUACCAACCCGAUGCAAACUGCGAAUACCGGAGAAUGUUAUCACGGGAGACACACGGCGGGUGCUAACGUCCGUCGUGAAGAGGGAAACAACCCAGACCGCCAGCUAAGGUCCCAAAGUCAUGGUUAAGUGGGAAACGAUGUGGGAAGGCCCAGACAGCCAGGAUGUUGGCUUAGAAGCAGCCAUCAUUUAAAGAAAGCGUAAUAGCUCACUGGUCGAGUCGGCCUGCGCGGAAGAUGUAACGGGGCUAAACCAUGCACCGAAGCUGCGGCAGCGACGCUGAUGCGUUGUUGGGUAGGGGAGCGUUCUGUAAGCCUGCGAAGGUGUGCUGUGAGGCAUGCUGGAGGUAUCAGAAGUGCGAAUGCUGACAUAAGUAACGAUAAAGCGGGUGAAAAGCCCGCUCGCCGGAAGACCAAGGGUUCCUGUCCAACGUUAAUCGGGGCAGGGUGAGUCGACCCCUAAGGCGAGGCCGAAAGGCGUAGUCGAUGGGAAACAGGUUAAUAUUCCUGUACUUGGUGUUACUGCGAAGGGGGGACGGAGAAGGCUAUGUUGGCCGGGCGACGGUUGUCCCGGUUUAAGCGUGUAGGCUGGUUUUCCAGGCAAAUCCGGAAAAUCAAGGCUGAGGCGUGAUGACGAGGCACUACGGUGCUGAAGCAACAAAUGCCCUGCUUCCAGGAAAAGCCUCUAAGCAUCAGGUAACAUCAAAUCGUACCCCAAACCGACACAGGUGGUCAGGUAGAGAAUACCAAGGCGCUUGAGAGAACUCGGGUGAAGGAACUAGGCAAAAUGGUGCCGUAACUUCGGGAGAAGGCACGCUGAUAUGUAGGUGAAGUCCCUCGCGGAUGGAGCUGAAAUCAGUCGAAGAUACCAGCUGGCUGCAACUGUUUAUUAAAAACACAGCACUGUGCAAACACGAAAGUGGACGUAUACGGUGUGACGCCUGCCCGGUGCCGGAAGGUUAAUUGAUGGGGUUAGCGCAAGCGAAGCUCUUGAUCGAAGCCCCGGUAAACGGCGGCCGUAACUAUAACGGUCCUAAGGUAGCGAAAUUCCUUGUCGGGUAAGUUCCGACCUGCACGAAUGGCGUAAUGAUGGCCAGGCUGUCUCCACCCGAGACUCAGUGAAAUUGAACUCGCUGUGAAGAUGCAGUGUACCCGCGGCAAGACGGAAAGACCCCGUGAACCUUUACUAUAGCUUGACACUGAACAUUGAGCCUUGAUGUGUAGGAUAGGUGGGAGGCUUUGAAGUGUGGACGCCAGUCUGCAUGGAGCCGACCUUGAAAUACCACCCUUUAAUGUUUGAUGUUCUAACGUUGACCCGUAAUCCGGGUUGCGGACAGUGUCUGGUGGGUAGUUUGACUGGGGCGGUCUCCUCCUAAAGAGUAACGGAGGAGCACGAAGGUUGGCUAAUCCUGGUCGGACAUCAGGAGGUUAGUGCAAUGGCAUAAGCCAGCUUGACUGCGAGCGUGACGGCGCGAGCAGGUGCGAAAGCAGGUCAUAGUGAUCCGGUGGUUCUGAAUGGAAGGGCCAUCGCUCAACGGAUAAAAGGUACUCCGGGGAUAACAGGCUGAUACCGCCCAAGAGUUCAUAUCGACGGCGGUGUUUGGCACCUCGAUGUCGGCUCAUCACAUCCUGGGGCUGAAGUAGGUCCCAAGGGUAUGGCUGUUCGCCAUUUAAAGUGGUACGCGAGCUGGGUUUAGAACGUCGUGAGACAGUUCGGUCCCUAUCUGCCGUGGGCGCUGGAGAACUGAGGGGGGCUGCUCCUAGUACGAGAGGACCGGAGUGGACGCAUCACUGGUGUUCGGGUUGUCAUGCCAAUGGCACUGCCCGGUAGCUAAAUGCGGAAGAGAUAAGUGCUGAAAGCAUCUAAGCACGAAACUUGCCCCGAGAUGAGUUCUCCCUGACUCCUUGAGAGUCCUGAAGGAACGUUGAAGACGACGACGUUGAUAGGCCGGGUGUGUAAGCGCAGCGAUGCGUUGAGCUAACCGGUACUAAUGAACCGUGAGGCUUAACCUU